CAGUAGCCGCGGUAAUACGAGGGGGGCAAGCGUUGUUCGGAAUUAUUGGGCGUAAAGGGCGCGUAGGCGGUUUGGCAAGUUUGGUGUGAAAUCUUCGGGCUCAACUCGAAGUCUGCAUCGAAAACUGCCGGGCUUGAGUAUGGGAGAGGUGAGUGGAAUUUCCGGUGUAGCGGUGAAAUGCGUAGAUAUCGGAAGGAACACCUGUGGCGAAAGCGGCUCACUGGACCAUUACUGACGCUGAGGCGCGAAAGCUAGGGGAGCAAACAGGAUUAGAUACCCCAGUAGUCCCUGUCUCUUAUAA
rnacentral:rRNA from 1 species